ACGUAGGGGGCGAGCGUUGUCCGGAAUCACUGGGCGUAAAGGGUGCGUAGGUGGCCUUUUAAGUGGGAUGUGAAAUCCUCGAGCUUAACUUGGGUGGUGCAUCUAAUACUGGAGGGCUAGAGUGCAGGAGAGGGAGGCGGAAUUCCUAAUGUAGCGUUGAAAUGCGUAGAUAUUAGGAGGAACACCAGUGGCGAAGGCGGCUUUCUGGACUGUAACUGACGCUGAGGCACGAAAGCGUGGGGAGCUAACAG
rnacentral:rRNA from 1 species